AGAGGAGCGAAAUUGGUUGGAGUAUGGAGACAGAUUUCUAUAUUCGACGAGAAAAAAAAAUACAAACAACCAUGCGAGAAGUGCAUAAGUAAUCGUAUCUUCAAGUCAGCCCAAUCUUUGAAAUGUGUACGUACACUAGCAUAAUUAUGAAUAUCAGUACUACACAAUUUAAUAUUGUGUAAAUAUUGGAUGUCAAAUAUAUUGUUCAUGUUCAAGUUCUCGUCAAUGUAACUCUGGCGUAUAAAAUAAUAUUGAAAAUGGAAAAAAGGUUUGAGACGAAAGAGGCCUAAAACUGGCUUAAAUGUAUAAGUGCAACAUGUACGACCAGGGACGUAAUUGCACAAUUAGCCGAACUCGGAUUUAAAGCAUUUUACACGGAUAUACGACAGGAUAUGCUUGCAAAACACGGUAUACUUGAAACAAAGAAGUGUAGAUGUUGUAGUGAUUUCUCAAAACAGUGCCGCCUGUGUUCAGAAAUAGGUAAUUGCAUUUGGUACUACCAUCGUUUUAAACAGACACAUUUAAAAGGCCCAUCAUGGAGAAAUACGGACAUGCCUCCCACGGGUUACAAGAAUAAACCAAGUGCUGACAAAACAGAUUUCAGCGGGAUAAUAAGUGCUUUAAUCAACUGUACCUGGAUGCAGAAUUACUUUACAGAUGAUCUUAGCCUGAAUACUAAUAUCUGCAUGGAGGCGCGAGAAGAAGUAAACGCACUACGGCACAUACAUGGCACAAACAUAGAUGAAGGUGAAAUGAUCAGCCUCUUCAAUUCUCUUUUAACUCUUCUUAAUGAUCCUGCAUACCUGAACAGCUUUAAACCAGCAGAUGAAGCAAGAACAUACCUUACUCAGGUUAUGUCCGUUAUUCCUCAAAUAACAUUGAAGAACCAAGAACUUAUCAAUUACAUGGUUUUUUAGUCAUUAUGUAAAUAACUAACAAAAUACGAACCAUUUAGGGAGUUGCAUGCUAGUUGACUAGUAUUAUUAUGCCCCUCUUUGAAGAAGAGGGGAUAUAUUGUUUUGCACAUGUCGGUCAGUCCGUCCGUCAGUCCGUCCACCGAAUGGUUUCCGGAUGAUAACUCAAGAACGCUUACGCCUAGGAUCAUGAAACUUCAUAGGUACAUUGAUCAUGACUCGCAGAUGACACCUAUUGAUUUUCAGGUCACUAGGUAAAGGUCAAGGUUACGGUGACUAGAACCAGUGAAAUGGUUUCCGGAUGAUAACUCAAGAACUUUUAUGCCUAAUAUCAUGAAACUUCAUAGGUACAUUGAUCAUGACUUGCAGAUGACCCCUAUUGAUUUUCAGGUCACUUGGUCAAAGGUCACGGUGACUCGAGCCAGUAAAAUGGUUUCCAGAUGAUAACUCAAGAACGCUUACUCCUAGGAUCAUGAAACUUCAUAGAUACAUUGAUUAUGACUCGCAGAUGACCCCUAUUGAUUUUCAGGUCACUAGGUCAAAGGUAAAGGUCACGGUGACUCGAACCAGUAAUAUGGUUUACGGAUAAUAACUCAAGAACGCUUACACCUAGGAUCAUGAAAGUUCAUAUGAACAUUGAUCAUGAUUCGCAGAUGACCCCUAUUGAUUUUCAGGUCACUAGGUCAAAGGUCAAGGUCACAGUGACUAGAAAUAGUAAAAUGGUUUCUGGAUGAUGACUCAAGAUGCUUAGGCCUAGGAUCAUGAAACUUCAUAGGUACAUUUAUAAUGACUCGCAGAUGACCCCUAUUGAUUUUCAGGUCACUAACUCAAAGGUCAAGGUCACAGUGACUCGAAAUAGUAAAAUGAUUCCCGGAUGAUAACUCAAGAAUGCUUAUGCCUAGGAUCAUGAAACUUCAUAGGUAUAUUGAUCAUGACUGACAGAUGACCCCUAUUAAUUUUCAGGUCACUAGGUCAAAGAUCAAGGUCACAGUGACUCGAAACAGUAAAAUGGUUUACGGAUGAUAACUCAAGAAUAUUUAGGCCUAGGAUCAUGAAACUUCAUAGGUAAAUUGAUCAUGACUGGCAGAUGACCUCUAUUGAUUUUCAGGUCGCUAGGUCAAAUGUCAAGGUCACAAAGACAAAAAACGUAUUCACACAAUGGCUGCCACUACAACUGACAGCCCAUAUGGGGGGCAUGCAUAUUUUACAAACAGCUCUUGCUGAUUUAGUCUUCAAUUCUAUAAAUAACAAAUAAUUCUAAAAGGUUUGAUCUUCCUUAUGUGGUUAGAGAUGUGAUAAAAUUACAUACAACCUAACUUUUUUAAAUAAGUUUGCCCGGCUUUAUCUAAUUUAAAGAAAAAUUUUCUUUGUAUUACAGCCAAUAAAAAGAAGAGAACACAUAGCUUAUUAAGAUUUAUAAACUUGUCAAAGAGGUGUCAACUCCCAUUUCCUUUUUGCAUUCACAUUUGGUUUAUAAAUAAUUUGAAAUUCGAGGAGUGUUUGUAU